rnacentral:lncRNA from 1 species
UAAUAAAAAUACAGAAAGAACUUAAAUAAGUCAUAUCAAAUAGGCACUGAAUUCUUAUCCCUUUAUCUAAACCUUAUUUUGGGCAUUGGCUUAGCUAAUGACGCCAAGGAUGUCCUUAUCAGCAAUGUCCUUGUUAAUAUUUACAAUCUUAUCAUUUGCUUAGCUUAAAUAAGGCUCAUUACAUACUGGUUUAAGUAUUUUUUCUUAUUUAAUGGAAUCCCCUUAUAUUGUCACGUUGGGUGCAUCUCAUUUAGGGGUUCAAAAGCCCAAGGUCUAAAAAUGCAUGCUUAAUGUGCAAUUAAUAUUAAAAUUUGGACUUGGAUGAAAUUUGUCAUGAAAUUAGGUUUUGAAAACGUGGCUAUAUAAAGAAAAAUAAAGGAAAAAGGAUAUCUACGGGGAAAUGGUUACCAAGAAGACCCCUUUUUUACCAUUAUACCCUUUAUCUCUAUAAGCCUCAAAAAUUGACUCUAAUAU